CCGGAUGUGGCGUCAUACACGCUCCUCACCCUCCCUCCUCGCGCCCCCGGCACCACUUCCCAAGUCUGAAAUCGGGAAGGAGCGGGAGUAAUCCGGUGGCAGCUGGAGGCCAGCGGAAGUGUUUGUGGGCUCAGCCGCAGCUCAAACGUCACAUCCUGAGGCCCUGCCCCUCACCUUGAUGCCCACAACACCGCCCUUGGAUUUGAUAACUUGGGGGAAGGGACGCCCAUCAUCCGCCUUCUGGUAGAGUGUCUCGUGGAAGAGGAUGACACCCCCGAUGCAGGGGUUCACCCGGUCAUCAGCUGUCAGCAGCAGCUGACGAUAGAAGCGCCGGUUCUCCUCGGUGUUCUCAGUGCCAAUGGACUGCAGCCGCUUGGCAAUGCUCCCUGGGAGGACGUGUCACAUGGGAAUUAGGGGAUCAGCCUGCCACUCCCAACCCUGCACCCUCCACCCAUUCUGUCUCCUGCCCGCACCAGUGGACUCAUCUGCAGCCAGGAUGCCCUUGCCCGGGGCCACGAUGCGGUGAGCGAUGUCAGACAGCUCCUUCUUCUGCUCCGGGGUCAGCGCUGGAUAUUGAUAGGGCAUGGUGCUGGUGGUAGCAAGUUCCUGGGUACAGGAAACAGGGAGAGGAUUGGUUAGCUGGGCCUUCUCAUGAUCUCCCAAUAAGCAGGGCCCCUCGCCUGGAGGUCAGGGCAAAUGUCCCCUACCUCCCCUGCCCCACACCCAGUAGGCCCUGGGGGCACCUCUGGUUCCCAGCUCUCCCAUACGCCCGACUUCCCUAUGCUAGGCCUGCCCCUGUACCUUUCCUAACUCUGUCUGGUGCUGGGUGUUGCCCAGCUGAGGGUGGAGUUGCUCACUGGCAACUGGGGGAAAGGAAAAGGCCAUAGCCAUGGAUAGGUGGGUCAUGUUGAAGCUGGACCCUUCUGGCUUGCGCCUUGCCAUGGGGCCACCUUGCCUGAAAACAAAACCGAACCGGAGUAUUUUAGAAUGUAAAGGUCGUGAAUCGAGCAGAGGGCCCAACACCCUCGUGGGAAAGGGCCCAGAUAAGGAAAAGGUCUGUGCCUCAAGCCACACAGCAACCCCGGAGCCAGAUCUGAGAUUAACCUAGCUCUCCUGACUGCCACUGGGGCGUUCCUUCCAAUCCACCCAAGAUCCCAGGGCUGGCCUGGGCUCCAACCCUUCAAGGACAUCCCAAGGUCAGGGUUUUCCCCACAAGGGAGGGGGCGGGUGGUAGGAAAGGGGUAUUAGGAGAAAGGUAAGAGAGCAAGGAGAAGCUCAGGCAAGGGCCUAACAAGUCCUAGCCUGAGGCGAGGAGAGGAAAGCGGUAAUCUUUGCCGUGGUCACUUCCUACGGGCGGAGGGGCAAGAGCCCCAUCCCUUUCCAAGAAAAAUGUCCUGUCGCUUCCCAAGGCUGUAGCUGUUCCAGGCUCAGAAUCAAGGUCGCCCGAUAAGGAAAGACGGAAAGUGUUAGCCGGGCAUCAAGCGCCACCAAGGGGUUUUCCCUCCUCGAGAGGGGCGCCGAGUUCCGCAGGCCAGGAACCAACCUCCCGCUUGCGAGAACCCUGGGGGUGUACACGGGCCUGCCCUCACCCCUCACUGUCGCUUAGGAUCCCCACCGAGACUAAGGGGCCCUAAUCCUUUGCCACAGGGGUCCCUGCAACAAAAGGGGAGGAGAAUGGUCCUCCAUCUCGUCUGGCUUCCUCCCCCGCCAUGACUCAGCGCGUGCAGCGGCUGCAUUGCGCAGUUAGGUGACCUCAGGGUGGAGGGGCCGAGGAGCCUGAAUGUGGCCAGUAGUGGGGAGACGCUGGCAUGGGGUGAGGGGGGGCUCCACGCGGACGCCCAACCCGCCACUGCCCUCAAGAUCCUUCUCCACGGUCCCUGGUCCCCGCACGUGAAGAGGAGCGCUCACCUGGUACAGGAGAGGGGCGAGUGUGCGGGAUCUGGCGGCAGAGGACGGCGGGCUGGCGAGUGGACUCUGGGAGCGAAUGCCGCACUCGUCACUAGGACCCCUUCUGCGGCGCGUUCCGAGAGGAACGCAGCCGAACCAGCCUCGGAGGGGGCGGUGCAAUGGGCGGGCAGGAGGAAGGCGGCGCUCGGCCUUUUAAAGGCACCACUCCGCCCUCCGCCGAGCUUUUUCCUCUGCAGGGAGCGGGAGGCGUCCAAUUGCAAGCGAGGGAGUGGGCGACGGGCCGCCCCCAAGAGGCGCAGCCCAGAGGCCGCGCUAGGUAGAGGACGGGCGGUGAGAACACGACUCCUCCCCCGCCCCCCUCGGACGUGACUCGGGCCACAUCCCGCGGGUCGCCAGGGCCCUCCCCUCCGCUCCUUCUCCCCCUCCUGGCGCGCUCUUGGGCAUCGUAGCCAGAAUAUCAGCACCGGAGGAGUGGGGGACGGGAAGGUGGGAGAUGCAGAUGGAAGAGUCGGAAAAGGAGGAGGCUGGGCUGGGCCUCCCAGGCCCAGCCCGCGGCCCGGGGCAGCUCCAGUUUCCAGCCUGCGCGGCUGCGGCGCGUGUCACCACCGGGUCGCAAGUCGGCCUGCCUCGCCUGCGGCCUGGGCCGUGAAAGGCGCGGAGCCGAUCCCCCGUCACCCGUCACUAGCCCAGGCGUAAGGGAGGCGGAGGAAAGGGCGGCGAGAGAAUACGCGGAAGCGCGACAGGGCGGUGGGGCUGGCGCGGCACGAAGGCUAGGCCUCCGCUGUGCGGGCUCCCAGCAGGCGGGGCGGGCUGGAUCGCGCAUGCGCACGUUCUCUCCACUCGGGCGGUCGUAGCCAGGUGGACACCCUGCGCCGCCAUGUACCGGCCGCUGCUCGGCCUCGGGCAUGCAGGGCCACAGUCCCUGCCAAACGUCUUCCUUGGACCUGACUUCCUUCUCCAGAAUAAAAUCCAUCCCCGAGCUGA